rnacentral:rRNA from 1 species
AAUAAAAAUAAAGCAUUGCCUUCUUUAUUAUAUCUUGUAUUUAGCGUACUUUUGCCUUAGGGGGUCUCUUCCUCAUUUAACAAAUGUAUGGAAUGGAUUAAGAAUUGGUGGAAUAGCAGGCAAUUCAAAACUCUCUUAACUGAUAUUCAAGAGAAAAGGAUUCUAGAAAGAUUCACAGAAUUAGAAGAACUUUCUCUCUUGGAUGAGAUGAUAAAAGGGAAACUAAAGACACAUGUACAAAAACUUCCUACCUGAAUACACAAGGAAAUAAUACAAUGGGUCAAAAUAAAUAAUGAGGAUCAUCUCCAUACCAUUUUACAUUUCUCGACAAAUUUAAUCUGUUUGGCUAUUCUAAGUGGUUGUUUUUUUGGGUAA